CUGAGACAAAGUGACGUUAGAAAGACUUCUGAAAAACAUACAACUGGUCUGAUUUAACCUGAGUACUGACAUGUUUCCUAGGAUUUGCCAGCCACAUGAAGAAUUCUCCUAUCAUUGAUUUAGAGCUUUUGUCACCUGUGCUUUUGGUGUCUUAUCCAAGGAAUCAUUACCAAGACCAAUGUCAAAGAGCUUCUUCCCUGAUUUUGUCUAUAAUUUUUAUGAUUUCAGGUCUUACAUAUCACCUACCUCUUCCUGUCCAAACACCGUGGCCAAAGCAAUCACAUGUGAGAACUGAAUAACUGAUGGCCCCAAGUAAAACCCCAGUAUUGUUACCAAAAGAGGGAGAAAGGAUGUUGAAUGACGAGAACAAGUGCUUACUAGAGCAUAUGUUCCUGAAACCACAGCCUUGUGGUUAGCAGGUAUGACCCAUCCACAACCCUAGCCCAAGCCACAACAUCUCUGAGCAAUAUCCAAGAUGGCUCAGGUUUCUUUCUGCAUAAAAGACCACCUCAAAACUUAAUGGCUUAAAACAGCACCCAUUUAUUUACUCAUGAUCCUGUACGUGAGCUCAACCGGGUGGUUCUUCUGGUA